GACGAACGCUGGCGGCGUGCUUAACACAUGCAAGUCGAACGGAAAGGCCCUGCUUUUGUGGGGUGCUCGAGUGGCGAACGGGUGAGUAACACGUGAGUAACCUGCCCUUGACUUUGGGAUAACUUCAGGAAACUGGGGCUAAUACCGGAUAGGAGCUCCUGCUGCAUGGUGGGGGUUGGAAAGUUUCGGCGGUUGGGGAUGGACUCGCGGCUUAUCAGCUUGUUGGUGGGGUAGUGGCUUACCAAGGCUUUGACGGGUAGCCGGCCUGAGAGGGUGACCGGACACAUUGGGACGGAGAUACGGCACAGACUCCUACGGGAGGCAGCAGUGGGGAAGAUUGCACAAUGGGCGGAAGCCUGAUGCAGCAAAGCCGCGUGCGGGAUGACGGCCUUCGGGUUGUAUACCGAUUUCGCCUGUGACGAAGAGUGAGUGACGGUAAUGGGUAAAGAAGCACCGGCUAACUACGUG
rnacentral:rRNA from 1 species